rnacentral:rRNA from 1 species
UAUCGGAUUGAUACUAAGCCAUGCGAGUCAUUGCAGUAAUGCAAGGCAGACGGCUCAGUAACGCGUAGUCAACCUACCCUAUGGACGGGAAUAACCUCGGGAAACUGAGUAUAAUGCCCGAUAGAACACUAUUCCUGGAAUGGUUUGUGUUCCAAAUGAUUUAUCGCCGUAGGAUGGGACUGCGGCCUAUCAGUUUGUUGGUGAGGUAAUGGCCCACCAAGACUAUUACAGGUACGGGCUCUGAGAGGAGUAGCCCGGAGAUGGGUACUGAGACACGGACCCAGGCCCUAUGGGGCGCAGCAGGCGAGAAAACUUUGCAAUGUGCGAAAGCACGACAAGGUUAAUCCGAGUGGUUUGUGCUAAACGAACCUUUUGACAGUCCUAGAAACACUGUUGAAUAAGGGGUGGGCAAGUUCUGGUGUCAGCCGCCGCGGUAAAACCAGCACCUCAAGUGGUCAGGAUGAUUAUUGGGCCUAAAGCAUCCGUAGCCGGCUCUGUAAGUUUUCGGUUAAAUCUGUACGCUCAACGUACAGGCUGCCGGGAAUACUGCAGAGCUAGGGAGUGGGAGAGGUAGACGGUACUCGGUAGGAAGGGGUAAAAUCCUUUGAUCUAUUGAUGACCACCUGUGGCGAAGGCGGUCUACCAGAACACGUCCGACGGUGAGGGAUGAAAGCUGGGGGAGCAAACCGGAUUAGAUACCCGGGUAGUCCCAGCUGUAAACUAUGCAAACUCAGUGAUGCAUUGGCUUGUGGCCAAUGCAGUGCUGCAGGGAAGCCGUUAAGUUUGCCGCCUGGGAAGUACGUACGCAAGUAUGAAACUUAAAGGAAUUGGCGGGGGAGCACCACAAGGGGUGAAGCCUGCGGUUCAAUUGGAUGUC